ACGAGGCACUACGGUGCUGAAGUAACAAAUGCCCUGCUUCCAGGAAAAGCCUCUAAGCAUCAGGUAACAUUAAAUCGUACCCCAAACCGACACAGGUGGUCAGGUAGAGAAUACCAAGGCGCUUGAGAGAACUCGGGUGAAGGAACUAGGCAAAAUGGUGCCGUAACUUCGGGAGAAGGCACGCUGGUGUGUAGGUGAAGUCCCUGCGGACGGAGCUGAGACCAGUCGAAGAUACCAGCUGGCUGCAACUGUUUAUUAAAAACACAGCACUGUGCAAACACGAAAGUGGACGUAUACGGUGUGACGCCUGCCCGGUGCCGGAAGGUUAAUUGAUGGGGUUAUCCGUAAGGAGAAGCUCUUGAUCGAAGCCCCGGUAAACGGCGGCCGUAACUAUAACGGUCCUAAGGUAGCGAAAUUCCUUGUCGGGUAAGUUCCGACCUGCACGAAUGGCGUAAUGAUGGCCAGGCUGUCUCCACCCGAGACUCAGUGAAAUUGAACUCGCUGUGAAGAUGCAGUGUACCCGCGGCAAGACGGAAAGACCCCGUGAACCUUUACUAUAGCUUGACACUGAACAUUGAGCCUUGAUGUGUAGGAUAGGUGGGAGGCUUUGAAGCGUGGACGCCAGUCUGCGUGGAGCCAACCUUGAAAUACCACCCUUUAAUGUUUGAUGUUCUAACGUAGGCCCCUUAUCGGGGUUGCGGACAGUGUCUGGUGGGUAGUUUGACUGGGGCGGUCUCCUCCCAAAGAGUAACGGAGGAGCACGAAGGUUAGCUAAUCCUGGUCGGACAUCAGGAGGUUAGUGCAAUGGCAUAAGCUAGCUUGACUGCGAGCGUGACGGCGCGAGCAGGUGCGAAAGCAGGUCAUAGUGAUCCGGUGGUUCUGAAUGGAAGGGCCAUCGCUCAACGGAUAAAAGGUACUCCGGGGAUAACAGGCUGAUACCGCCCAAGAGUUCAUAUCGACGGCGGUGUUUGGCACCUCGAUGUCGGCUCAUCACAUCCUGGGGCUGAAGUAGGUCCCAAGGGUAUGGCUGUUCGCCAUUUAAAGUGGUACGCGAGCUGGGUUUAGAACGUCGUGAGACAGUUCGGUCCCUAUCUGCCGUGGGCGCUGGAGAAUUGAGGGGGGCUGCUCCUAGUACGAGAGGACCGGAGUGGACGCAUCACUGGUGUUCGGGUUGUCAUGCCAAUGGCACUGCCCGGUAGCUAAAUGCGGAAGAGAUAAGUGCUGAAAGCAUCUAAGCACGAAACUUGCCCCGAGAUGAGUUCUCCCUGAGACUUUAAGUCUCCUGAAGGAACGUUGAAGACGACGACGUUGAUAGGCCGGGUGUGUAAGCGCAGCGAUGCGUUGAGCUAACCGGUACUAAUGAACCGUGAGGCUUAACCUU
rnacentral:rRNA from 1 species